rnacentral:rRNA from 1 species
AGGCUUAACACAUGCAAGUCGAGGGGCAGCAUGGUCUUAGCUUGCUAAGGCCGAUGGCGACCGGCGCACGGGUGAGUAACACGUAUCCAACCUGCCGUCUACUCUUGGACAGCCUUCUGAAAGGAAGAUUAAUACAAGAUGGCAUCAUGAGUCCGCAUGUUCACAUGAUUAAAGGUAUUCCGGUAGACGAUGGGGAUGCGUUCCAUUAGAUAGUAGGCGGGGUAACGGCCCACCUAGUCUUCGAUGGAUAGGGGUUCUGAGAGGAAGGUCCCCCACAUUGGAACUGAGACACGGUCCAAACUCCUACGGGAGGCAGCAGUGAGGAAUAUUGGUCAAUGGGCGAGAGCCUGAACCAGCCAAGUAGCGUGAAGGAUGACUGCCCUAUGGGUUGUAAACUUCUUUUAUAAAGGAAUAAAGUCGGGUAUGCAUACCCGUUUGCAUGUACUUUAUGAAUAAGGAUCGGCUAACUCCGUGCCAGCAGCCGCGGUAAUACGGAGGAUCCGAGCGUUAUCCGGAUUUAUUGGGUUUAAAGGGAGCGUAGAUGGAUGUUUAAGUCAGUUGUGAAAGUUUGCGGCUCAACCGUAAAAUUGCAGUUGAUACUGGAUAUCUUGAGUGCAGUUGAGGCAGGCGGAAUUCGUGGUGUAGCGGUGAAAUGCUUAGAUAUCACGAAGAACUCCGAUUGCGAAGGCAGCCUGCUAAGCUGCAACUGACAUUGAGGCUCGAAAGUGUGGGUAUCAAACAGGAUUAGAUACCCUGGUAGUCCACACGGUAAACGAUGAAUACUCGCUGUUUGCGAUAUACAGCAAGCGGCCAAGCGAAAGCGUUAAGUAUUCCACCUGGGGAGUACGCCGGCAACGGUGAAACUCAAAGGAAUUGACGGGGGCCCGCACAAGCGGAGGAACAUGUGGUUUAAUUCGAUGAUACGCGAGGAACCUUACCCGGGCUUAAAUUGCAGAUGAAUUACGGUGAAAGCCGUAAGCCGCAAGGCAUCUGUGAAGGUGCUGCAUGGUUGUCGUCAGCUCGUGCCGUGAGGUGUCGGCUUAAGUGCCAUAACGAGCGCAACCCUUGUUGUCAGUUACUAACAGGUUCCGCUGAGGACUCUGACAAGACUGCCAUCGUAAGAUGUGAGGAAGGUGGGGAUGACGUCAAUCAGCACGGCCCUUACGUCCGGGGCUACACACGUGUUACAAUGGGGGGUACAGAGGGCCGCUACCACGCGAGUGGAUGCCAAUCCCAAAAACCUCUCUCAGUUCGGACUGGAGUCUGCAACCCGACUCCACGAAGCUGGAUUCGCUAGUAAUCGCGCAUCAGCCACGGCGCGGUGAAUACGUUCCCGGGCCUUGUACACACCGCCCGUCAAGCCAUGGGAGCCGGGGGUACCUGAAGUGCGUAACCAAGAGGAGCGCCCUAGGGUAAAACUGGUGACUGGGGCUAAG